UCAAAAUGAAAAAGAAGAUAAUAUUAUCGAAGGUCCUCAUCUGUUUUGGGAACGGUAUGUGUAUCAAAGGAAGUGGUCUGGUUAAAACACAGGCCCUUCUGUCUCAGCCGUGCACCGUAUAGAUAAAGGUCUCAGAGAGCAAUGCAGACCCUCCCAGGAACAACACCUCAGUAUUAGCCAGUCCCUAGUGGUAGAGGGCAGCUCUGUGACUGACCUGCAGCAGCAAUGCCAACCCAGCAGUGAAGACCUACCCCUGGUACAGAGUCAGUGGGAGCAAAAUAGUCCCCAUAGAGUCUAGAUCUCAGUGUCUGGUUCUGCAGGAUAUCAGUGAGAGCGGACUGUUCUGUUGUGAAGCACAGAAUAGCUAUGGCAAAGAUAGGUCCAAGAUCUUUGUGCAUCUGCACCACUGCACCUCCACACCUGCAGAUGAACGUGGUACCUUCAGGCAUUUGGAAAUUGCUCCCAAGGAUGAACCAGACUUGUGGAGGUCUACAAUUUUUUUCUGAGGUUUUGGCUGAUUUCUUUUGAUUUUCCCAUGAUGUCAAGCAAAGAGGCUCUGAGUUUG
ensembl:lncRNA